rnacentral:lncRNA from 1 species
GAACAGAGAGUAGAAGAUGUCCGGCUCAUCCGAGAGCAGCAUCCUACCAAAAUCCCGGUAAUAAUAGAACGAUACAAAGGUGAGAAGCAGCUUCCAGUCCUGGAUAAAACGAAAUUCCUGGUGCCUGAUCAUGUCAACAUGAGUGAGCUCAUCAAGAUAAUUAGAAGGCGCUUGCAGCUCAAUGCUAACCAAGCCUUCUUCCUGUUAGUGAACGGACAUAGCAUGGUGAGUGUGUCCACACCGAUUUGUGAGGUGUACGAAAGCGAGAAGGAUGAAGAUGGAUUCCUGUACAUGGUCAGCACUCAUGAGGAAGUUCUCAUUUGGUUACUUCUCUAGACAUGCAAAANNNNNNNNNNNNNNNCAGCAGGAACCUUGGAUAGUUGAUGAUUUUGGUCAAGUUUCUCCAAAGGCCUAGAGAAAGAAUGGCGUUUCUUCCGUUUUGGACAUUCUCUGCAGAGUCAAGAUACUGCCUGCUUUGGUCAACGCCAGGCAGUCACAUCAGUUUCAUUCUUUAGGACAGGGUGGGAAACCAGAGGAUUCAGAUGUCACUUCCUCUACCUUCUGGCUGAAACUGUAGAUGAUCCAUGUUUUAUGUUAAGUGUGUGACUAAAAUAUGUAAUUAGACACUUUUAAUUUAAGAGUAUCUCAGUUACCACUGUUAGGUCAAGCAACCCUCAGUUUCCCCAUUCUAUGUGCAUGUCACUUUGGAAAAUAGCAAAAGGAAAAAAUGUUCUUUUACAGCUAUUAAUGGCAAAAGUUAAACAUGUUUAAAAGUCCAGCUAGAAUAAAUAACCAGUGCUUCCUGUUACCUGCAUGGGGUUCCCCAUGGACUAUUUUUUGUGGGCGUUACCACAGAAAGGGCCCAGACCCACAUGCUUGACGUACAUUGUAGCAGGCCGCGUUUCCUCUCGCGCAUCUAGAUGUGUGGAACACUCGUAUCUGUCAGCGGCAGGUAUUGACUCUUCAACGCGGUGUUGUGCUGCACCCGGGCCCUCGACCCCCCAUCUUCCCGCUGCAUGCAUCUGUCCACGUGGCUGACUUUUCACGUGUAUAUUUCUACAUUGUGCAAAUUCUUAGUCACCCUGUCUCGCUUAGAUUGUACGCAUCAUUACAUCUGACGUUCUUGUAACCACGGCGUGCUCCGUAAGAUUCCUAUGAGAAGUUCUGCUUUUUAAAGACAAAGAUACCAUGCCGAGAGGGGAGACUUAGACCCCACGUUAGUGGGUGGUCACUCCCUUUAUAGGAUCUUUAAAACAAGUACAUUUUUAAUGACUAAGGUAAAAUAAAGGCACAACU